rnacentral:tRNA from 1 species
AAUAGCGUGCUUGAUAAAAAGGUUGUUUUGAUAGAACAAAUUAUGAGAAAAUUUCUUCUCCGCUAUUA